rnacentral:rRNA from 1 species
AUUGAACGCUGGCGGCAGGCCUAACACAUGCAAGUCGAGCGGAUGGAGGGAGCUUGCUCCUGGAUUCAGCGGCGGACGGGUGAGUAAUGCCUAGGAAUCUGCCUGGUAGUGGGGGAUAACGUCCGGAAACGGGCGCUAAUACCGCAUACGUCCUGAGGGAGAAAGUGGGGGAUCUUCGGACCUCACGCUAUCAGAUGAGCCUAGGUCGGAUUAGCUAGUUGGUGGGGUAAAGGCCUACCAAGGCGACGAUCCGUAACUGGUCUGAGAGGAUGAUCAGCCACACUGGAACUGAGACACGGUCCAGACUCCUACGGGAGGCAGCAGUGGGGAAUAUUGGACAAUGGGCGAAAGCCUGAUCCAGCCAUGCCGCGUGUGUGAAGAAGGUCUUCGGAUUGUAAAGCACUUUAAGUUGGGAGGAAGGGCAGUAAGUUAAUACCUUGCUGUUUUGACGUUACCAACAGAAUAAGCACCGGCUAACUUCGUG